AGGAGGUGAGAUUUGCCCAUGGCCACAUCCCCACCUCCUGGAGAAACUCAUCUGGGAAAAUGGCAUCAUCCAGGAGUGAAAAGAAGAGAGAUUUUCCUGUUUUUUAGAGACUCUGAAAAGUAAACUAAAGAUCAGAAACGAUUCGUCUCAGAGUCCAACCUGUCCAUGAGGGUUUGGGGAAGAAUGAGUAGAAAGAAAGAGUGGAAAAUCAUGCAGACUGUGCCACCACCCGCAAGCUUGAAAACACCCAAGGAAACCAUCCCGGCAUUGUGAGUAGACUAAUCGCCACGUACCACUCAGUUUUCCCUUCCUGGACUGCGUCACUGGCCGUAGCCCUGUGGUUCCCACGUUGUUUCUGUCAUCGUCCCAAGGAGCAUAAUUCCUGAUCCUGAGUCUGGGCAGGACAGCCUGUCUCAGCACGAGCUCUUAUGUAAGGUGGCUAUGGGAAGAGUUGGCAAUAAACAAACAUAU